rnacentral:tRNA from 1 species
GCCUGGGUGGCUCAGUCGGUUGGGCGUCUGACUUCGGCUCAAGUCAUGAUCUCUCGUGGUUUGUGGGUUCGAGCCCCACAUCGGGCU